UACGAAGGGUGCAAACGUUGCUCGGAAUUAUUGGGCGUAAAGCGCACGUAGGCGGCUUAGCAAGUCGGGAAGUGAAAGCCCUUGGCUCAACCAAGGAAGUGCUUUCGAAACUGCUGAGCUUGAGUAGUUAAGAGGAUCGCGGAAUUCCCGGUGUAGAGGUGAAAUUCGUAGAUAUCGGGAGGAACACCAGUGGCGAAGGCGGCGUCUGGGGAACAUACUGACGCUGAGGUGCGAAAAGCGUGGGGGAGCAAACAGG
rnacentral:rRNA from 1 species